rnacentral:rRNA from 1 species
CCUACGGGGGGCAGCAGUGAGGAAUAUUGGUCAAUGGACGAGAGUCUGAACCAGCCAAGUAGCGUGAAGGAUGACUGCCCUAUGGGUUGUAAACUUCUUUUAUAUGGGAAUAAAAUGUUCCACGUGUGGGAUUUUGUAUGUACCAUAUGAAUAAGGAUCGGCUAACUCCGUGCCAGCAGCCGCGGUAAUACGGAGGAUCCGAGCGUUAUCCGGAUUUAUUGGGUUUAAAGGGAGCGUAGGGGGAUUGUUAAGUCAGUUGUGAAAGUUUGCGGCUCAACCGUAAAAUUGCAGUUGAAACUGGCAGUCUUGAGUACAGUAGAGGUGGGCGGAAUGCGUGGUGUAGCGGUGAAAUGCUUAGAUAUCACGAAGAACUCCGAUUGCGAAGGCAGUUCACUGGACUGCAACUGACACUGAGGCUCGAAAGUGUGGGUAUCAAACAGGAUUAGAUACCCCAGUAGUC